UGGAAUGGAAAGCGCUUUGGC
rnacentral:piRNA from 1 species